GGGCCCGUAAUGGUUUCGACGGGGGUUCUGAGGCUAGGUAAGCGUGGCGGGCCGGAUAAUCCCGAUAAACUGUCCAACCUAAAAUUAAACGCAGACGAUAAAAAAGUCGCUCUGGCUGCCUAACAGCAGCGCUGUGGCGUAACGCCACCCGUACCCGGCGAGAGUCCUGCGGCUCGCCGCGUGCGUCAAGUCAGCAGGGAAGGUGCAUCGGUGUUUCGUCCUUGAGCCGGUCAUCCAGAAAAGGGCUGCCGUCGCGGUGUCGCGUGUCUGUUUGCGCCCCGCCCGGGAGAACUUCAUAACAGACUGCCCACGAAGAAAGCCUACCCAACGGAUUUUCGGACAGGGGUUCAACUCCCCUCGGGUCCACCA
rnacentral:tmRNA from 1 species